UAACAAUGAUUCCCCUAGUAACGGCGAGUGAACAGGGAAAAGCUCAAAGUUGGAACCUCCUGGCCCUAGGUCUGGCGGAUUGUAAACUAAAGCUCUCGAGUAGUUCGGCUAGCCUGGUAAAAAAGUUCUCUGGAAAGGGACGACAUAGAGGGUGAAAUCCCCGUCUUUGGCCAGAGCAUAGUCCAACGUUUGCUUGGAAGUGAAGAGUCAGGUUGUUUGGUAUUGCAGCCUAAAGCUGGAGGUAAAUCUCUCCUAAAGCUAAAUAUUGACGAAAGACCGAUAGCGAACAAGUACCGUGAGGGAAAGAUGAAAAGCACUUUGAAAAGAGGGUCAAAAAGUACGUGAAAUUGCUGAAAGGGAACCGUAUGAAAUCAGCUUGUCUCUUUGGUAAUCAACCUGGACCUCGGUCUGGGUGCACUUGCCAGUGAGUACAGCCUGCGACAAUUCGGCGCGAAGGAAAAAAUCAGGGGGAAUGUGGCCUCAGCUUCGGUUGUGGUGUUAUAGCCCUUUGAAAAAUACUUUGCUCUGGAUUGAGGACUGCAGCGAGCCAUUUGGGAUAGACUGUGGGCGCUUUGUUUGGACUGGGAGGAAAUUUCUAUCUCUGGUAGUGUUCUUUCAGUUUGAGCAAACUCGCCUACUUUUCUUUUUUUCUCGCUUAGGUCGUAGGCAUAAUGA
rnacentral:rRNA from 1 species